UGGUAUACUCAAACCUGCUGGUACGUAUAUGUGUUUUACUGGGGGGUCAUUCCAACAUAUUGUGUGAUUAUUUAAAAACUAAAAAUUCGAUCUCUGGUGUUGCAGCGGAAUAGCCUAAACUGAUAUUUACUAUUCUUGGUAAAUCGCGGAGAAGAGCGGCCUGAACAAAAAAGACUGAUCAAACAGGCCGGUACCUUGGAACCUCCCGCUGCGUAGGACAAAGAGACGCCGAGUGGCUCGUGCCGUCCGUUUGGAUAUCGGUGGCAAAGUUUGGAUAUCGUUGCAAGAUCUAGAGCGGAUCUCCACGUUUAGGAUACAGACCACAACGCUUUGGACGUGUCUUUAAAAAAGAGAAAAAUCAGAGACUUUAUGGACUUGUCUUCGAACAUUUUAAACAUUUUGUGGCAGCGCGGAUUUUACACAGUUCGGAU